rnacentral:rRNA from 1 species
UACGUAGGGGGCAAGCGUUAUCCGGAUUUACUGGGUGUAAAGGGAGCGUAGACGGCAGUGCAAGUCCGGAGUGAAAGCCCGGGGCUCAACCCUGGGACUGCUCUGGAAACUGUAAAGCUGGAGUGCGGGAGGGGCAGGCGGAAUUCCUGGUGUAGCGGUGAAAUGCGUAGAUGUCAGGAGGAACACCGGCGGCGAAGGCGGCCUGCUGGACCGUAACUGACGUUGAGGCUCGAAAGCGUGGGGAGCAAACAGG